UAUACACACAAACAGGUGCUCAGUAUUUUGCCUGUACAGUUUUAACUAAACUAGAUGGCAUAUAACUGCUUUAGAAAACCUGUUCUUUAAAUAGACUACAACCCGUUUAACCUUGACAGUUUCACUUUGAGACCGGCAUUGGACUCACUGCUGUAAAAGUUAUAUUAUUACGCAGAAGUGUUUUUUAAAAUAAAUAAAUACAAUAAGAGAGUAAAUGUUCUCACCAUAUUAUUUCUACUUAUAUGACCUUUUAAAAACAACUCAAUUGCCUCAAUCAACUGCUUACUUGCUGUCUUGGAAUUUUCUCCCGAGCUAAAUUAUUAAUCACAGUGUGUCCCCGUUGGCUCUCCCUAUUUCCGGGCGGGCAUGCGCAGUUGCGCUACACGGACGCUGGGAGACUGAUGGCGGUAUCUCACGGUGGGGAACCACCUACUGCACCACCUGUAACAAGGAUACAAACAGCACCCUCUGUGCAUCCAUCAGGGCCUUCCACCAUGCCACCACCACCAUUCUUCAAGCAACAACAGGAACAGUCAGCUCCCAGGCAGGAGCAUGGUUGACUGGCUUCAAUACAGGAGCCAUAAGUGAUGUCACCAACACUGAAAUAUGACCCGUGGCAACAUUCAUCGCCAGAGGGAUAUCCUCCCUUUGGUUUUGAGCGGGAGCCAACAUGGGCACAAAGCGUACAGGUAUAUUCCCCCUACAAGAGCAAACACAGUCUCAAGCCAGUGUGGCUAUUGAAGAGGCUGGGUGGUCCCACACUUUUUCACAGUGGGACUGCCGAUCGCCACCAUCUGCUGCAUUAGGAUGAGCUCCACCAUCUGCUGCAUUAGGAUGAGCUCCACCAUCUGCAGCAUUAGGACAAGCUCCACCAUCUGCAGCAUUAGGAUGAGCUCCACCAUCUGCAGAAAUUCAACAUACAGCAUCAGCAGAAGCACCAACAUCAGUUUCAGCAGCAGCUUCAUCAGAAGCACCAACAUCAGCUACAGCAGCAACUUCAGCAGAAGCAUCAAUAUCAGCUUCAGCAGCAGCUUCAUCAGAAGCACCAACAUCACCUUCAGCAGAAGCACCAACAUCAGCUUAAGAAGCAGCUUUAUCAAAAACACCAGCAUCAGCUUCAUCAGAAGCACUGACAUCAGCUUCAGUAACAGCUUCAUCAGAAGCACCAACAUCAGCUUCAGCAGCAGUUUCAACAAUUCCAUCCCAAGAACCCACAGCUUCAGCAAUUCCACCUCCAGCAGCAGCAGUACAUCCACCAGCAUCACCUGUUCUCCAGACUCCUGGCCCUCAAACAACUUCCAGCCAUGUUGCUCAACAGUCUGAGUAUGCAUUGGAGCCUCCCCUGGAUGCAAAAUACAUUAGGAUACAGAGGAGGCUCCUCAGAAUCCCAGAGAGGUUCCCCAGACGGGGCCUAGAGCUGCUGAGAGACAUGGCAACAUAAUUCCAUGAAACUGUGGACAAUCAGUCACAGAUGAUGAGAUGGCUAGUUGAUAUGCAGCUGCAGGCGGACAAUAGAUCAAGAGAACAUAAUCAGCUUUUGGAUGUGAUGGUGGAACACAGCCUCAAGCGUAUCAUCUGCCACCAGCAAAAAAGCAGAAAUACCAGAAUCUGCAGGAGCAAGGAGGACAAGGCAAUAUACCACAAGCCCCUCAGCUCACUCAUCCAAAAAGCCAUGUAAAAAAUAAAAAUAUUUCUAGUUCAACAUAA